GAUGAACGCUGGCGGCGUGCUUAACACAUGCAAGUCGAACGGAAAGGCCCUUGCUUGCUGGGGUACUCGAGUGGCGAACGGGUGAGUAACACGUGGGUGAUCUGCCUUGCACUUCGGGAUAAGCCUGGGAAACUGGGUCUAAUACCGGAUAGGACCAUCGUUUAGUGUCGGUGGGUGAGAGUUUUUUCGGUGUGGGAUGAGCUCGCGGCCUAUCAGCUUGUUGGUGGGGUAUUGGCCUACCAAGGCGUCGACGGGUAGCCGGCCUGAGAGGGUGUACGGCCACAUUGGGACUGAGAUACGGCCCAGACUCCUACGGGAGGCAGCAGUGGGGAAUAUUGCACAAUGGGCGCAAGCCUGAUGCAGCAACGCCGCGUGGGGGAUGACGGCCUUCGGGUUGUAAACUCCUUUCGUCAGGGACGAAGCGAGAGUGACGGUACCUGGAAAAGAAGCACCGGCUAACUACGUG
rnacentral:rRNA from 1 species